AAUUUUACCUUCACCAUUUCUGGGUUGAUACUAGGGGUGGGGGCACUAUUGUAUCCUCUUGAUACAAUAUCGCAACAUUUAAUUUUACAAUAUGAGAACUAAUCUUUAAAGUCCAGAAUUGAUGUAAUUCAGCUGCUGGUAGAAACGAGGCAAAACUGUACUGCUUUCUUUCAGUAGAGGACGCAACAUAUUGUAGACCAAGGCUGUGUCCCAAUUCAAGCAUCAUCGUCAUUCUGAAGGCUCCUUGGAAUGUGGCCAAUGGAUGCAGCCUUAUUUUACUCAAAAACAAAAGGAUACAACAGGUGUAUCCUUUGGGAUCUCCAGGAUCAGGAUUGGCAACCCCUACUGUAUAGCACAGAGGAAUUUCAGGAAAUGCAAGUGAAUACAAAGGUAAAGACACCAAUUAACGUGUAACAAAUUGCAUAUCAUUAAUACUUUGAUGAAGUAUCACAAGAUCAGCCAAGAAUUAUUAUAUAGCCCGUCAAAUUCCAAUUUUCAUACAUCACCGCUAAUAAAUCAAGGCUGUGGGUUGCUUCUACAUAAAUAUUAAUUAUUAGUAUUAUAUAUUACUCAGGAAGGGCUCAUUUAUGUCCAGCACAUUGUAUUUUACAUCUUCCAUUCUCUGAACUAUAGUCUUAAAGACAAAGUGGAUUUCAAAGAUUCUUGGCCAAAAAAACAAACAAAAAACAAUAACAGGCUACAAUUCUUGGUAUAUUUCAUAAAUACAAUAAUGAAUUAAGGAAGCAAAAACAUCUGACUCAAAUAUAUCAUGCAGUUACAAAAACACUAUCAGAUUUCACAUUCAAUGUAUUUAUCGCUUUUAAUUGGGGAGUCACUGAGGUGGUCAUAAAGCCAAGUGGUGGCCCUUCCCCCAGCCACCACUUGGGGGUGACCUUGCAUAUUUCAACAUGAGGCAUAUCGCAAGGCGUUGUAUACAGACACAGGGGCGGACAGUGAUGGAAAUAUUCCUCAGAUUUUAUUUUUUUUUACUCUGAGGAGGUUAUGUUUUCACCCAUCUGUCUGUGAACAACUAACUCACAAUUUUUCAUAUAUCGUUAUGAAAUUUUUUUUUUAGAGGAUUCAUAUUCUGAAUCAUAACUGAUGCAAUUUUCAAGGUCAUAGGUCAAAGUAAAAAAAAAAAAAUCUUGUAAAA